rnacentral:rRNA from 1 species
UACGUAGGGGGCUAGCGUUGUCCGGAAUCAUUGGGCGUAAAGCGCACGUAGGCGGCCUGACAAGUCGGGUGUGAAAGCCCUGGGCUCAACCCAGGAAGUGCACUCGAAACUGCCAGGCUUGAAUAUGGAAGAGGGUCGCGGAAUUCCCGGUGUAGAGGUGAAAUUCGUAGAUAUCGGGAGGAACACCAGUGGCGAAGGCGGUGCCUGGGCCAAUAUUGACGCUGAGGUGCGAAAGCGUGGGGAGCAAACAGG